rnacentral:rRNA from 1 species
AAGGAAUAUUGCUCAAUGGGAGAAAUCCUGAAGCAGCAACGCCGCGUGGAGGAUGAAGGGUCUAUGACUUGUAAACUCCUGUAAAGAAGGAAAAAAUUCCCAUUAGAUGGGAGAUGAUGGUACUUCUGGAGUAGGCCCCGGCUAACUACGUGCCAGCAGCCGCGGUAAUACGUAGGGGGCAAGCGUUGUCCGGAUUUACUGGGUGUAAAGGGUGCUCAGGCGGAUUUGUAAGUCAGAGGUGAAAUCUUACAGCUUAACUGUGAAACUGCCUUUGAUACUGCAAGGCUAGAGUAUGGAAGAGAGUGAUGGAAUAUCUGGUGUAGCAGUGAAAUGCGUAGAUAUCAGAUAGAACACCAAUGGCGAAGGCAGUCACUUGGUCCAUUACUGACGCUAAAGCACGAAAGCGUGGGUAGCAAACA